UGUAGCCAAAUUUAUAAUUGUAACCUUGGGUCAUAAUCUCUAACCUUCACCACUAUGAAACUUUUAUGAGCUGGUUUUUAUGCAAGCAGCUAAGGUCCAUUCAAUGGUAUGAACAUGAAUGUUUGUCAGUUGUUAGAAUUCUUUUUGAGUUAGAACAUAUGCGUCUUAUACUGAUCUCUUGCGAAAAAUGAGUUCUAUGUUGUACUCUCUCUGUUAGAUUUAUCCUGCUAUCACAUGCCAUUUUUAUUUGAGUUGAAAACUCCCAUGGAGAAGCUAGAAUGUCAGCAUCGACCUCAUGCGUACUCGGAAUUUCAUCUAGUUUGACAUCUAGGUUAUGUAUCCUUGGUUGGAGCGGCGAAUAAGCUUAGGUACAUUGAACUGAUCAAGUGUAUCAGAGUCCAUGGAGGUAAAAAACUCCCAUGCAGAAGCUGGAAUGCAAGUGGAUGAAGCUCGAUUAAUAGGAAUCACUAAAACAGGACACAAAAUUAUACUCCCUCCCCAAAAUGUAAGGAGCAGAUUGACUUUUCUGGUCUUUGUUACACAACUUUGACUAUGAUUUUCAUGUGGUAUAUGUCUACAAAAUUAAUAGACAUGAAAAAACAAAUGCGACGAUGCCAUUUGUACAUGUUUUAUCCAUGUACUUGGUACUCCCUCCGUUCCGAAUUA